UGCAGUCGAGGGGCAGCGCAGUGUAGCAAUACAUGGGCGGCGACCGGCAAACGGGUGCGGAACACGUACGCAACCUUCCUUCAAGCGGGGCAUAGCUUUCGGAAACGAAAAUUAAUACCCCAUAGCAAUAUCUGAUGGCAUCUGAGGAUAUUUAAAGAUUUAUCACUUGAAGAUGGGCGUGCGCCUGAUUAGGUAGUUGGCGGGGUAACGGCCCACCAAGCCUACGAUCAGUAACUGGUGUGAGAGCACGACCAGUCACACGGGCACUGAGACACGGGCCCGACUCCUACGGGAGGCAGCAGUAAGGAAUAUUGGUCAAUGGACGCAAGUCUGAACCAGCCAUGCCGCGUGGAGGAUGAAGGUCCUCUGGAUUGUAAACUUCUUUUAUCGGAGAAGAAACCCCCGAGUUCUCUUGGGGUUGACGGUACCCGAUGAAUAAGCACCGGCUAACUCCGUGCCAGCAGCCGCGGUAAUACGGAGGGUGCAAGCGUUAUCCGGAUUCACUGGGUUUAAAGGGAGCGUAGGUGGGCUGGUAAGUCAGUGGUGAAAUCUCCGGGCUUAACUCGGAAACUGCCGUUGAUACUAUCAGUCUUGAAUGUUGUGGAGGUAAGCGGAAUAUGUCAUGUAGCGGUGAAAUGCUUAGAUAUGACAUAGAACACCGAUAGCGAAGGCAGCUUGCUACACAAUUAUUGACACUGAGGCUCGAAAGCGUGGGGAUCAAACAGGAUUAGAUACCCUGGUAGUCCACGCCCUAAACGAUGGAUACUCGACAUACGCGAUACACAGUGUGUGUCUGAGCGAAAGCAUUAAGUAUCCCACCUGGGGAAGUACGACCGCAAGGUUGAAACUC
rnacentral:rRNA from 1 species